rnacentral:lncRNA from 1 species
CUCAAUAUCAUUACAUACGUUACUAUUCAUAACUUUACAUUAUUUUACAAUUUAUCAUGUCCACACUCUAUCUAUUACAAACACAUGACUUCAUUACUCUUGUGGACCUCCUGGUCUACCCUGUACCUGCAAACCUGGGGAAUUAGGGAGAGGGGUGAGCUACUAGAGCCCAGUGAGCAGAAUAAUAAAACAUUCAAAACAUAUGAUAACAUGGAAUGCAUCACAUCACAGCUAAUCACAUCAAGGAUGAAGUUGUCACCAAUAGUCCUCUACAUAGUCCAACUGUGCCAGAACGUAGAAUGGGUCCUGCUCUUUCUCUUACAUGGCAUAACAUAACAUUCCAAUGUGCCAGAACGUAGAAUGGGUCCUGGUCUUUCUCUUAAAUAGUGCCAGCGAACGUAGAAUGGGUCCCACUGGUCUUACAUUCCGUACCGUACAUAUCACAUCGUCACAUCAUAGAUCGAGGGCUAUGGAUCAUCCAACAUUCAUCCACAACAACAACAGUAGAGUAUGCAAUGCAACAUAUUCGUGAAUUCUAAUGCAACAACCUAGUAUAUCUCAUGGAAUUAACGAUGCGUGAAUCAUGCUAAAAUGUCCAUUUAUUUGCUUUAAAAACGUAAUGAGUUAUUCCAAUCACCUCUGGAUAGCUCUGACCAGACACUGGAGCAGCUGACUCACUGCUGGGGUCCUCGGUUCCUCGGGUCCGAACCU